UCUCCGAGCAGCGGAGCAGUCGACCUUGAAUAAAUAGCCGCCUGCUAGUCAACGGUUCACCGGAAACACAACGAACAUCAUCACCGGAAGAAUCCUAACCAUCCAAGGUAGUUAAAAACAGCAAAAA